rnacentral:rRNA from 1 species
GUCGUAGACCCGAAACCAGGUGAUCUACCCAUGUCCAGGAUGAAGGUAAGGUAAUACUUACUGGAGGUCCGAACCCACGCACGUUGAAAAGUGCGGGGAUGAGGUGUGGGUAGCGGAGAAAUUCCAAUCGAACUUGGAGAUAGCUGGUUCUCUCCGAAAUAGCUUUAGGGCUAGCCUCGAGGUAAAGAGUCAUGGAGGUAGAGCACUGUUUGGACUAGGGGCCCUUCUCGGGUUACCGAAUUCAGAUAAACUCCGAAUGCCAUGUACUUAUACUCGGGAGUCAGACUGCGAGUGAUAAGAUCCGUAGUCGAAAGGGAAACAGCCCAGACCACCAGUUAAGGUCCCCAAAUAUAUGUUAAGUGGAAAAGGAUGUGGGGUUGCUUAGACAACCAGGAUGUUGGCUUAGAAGCAGCCACCAUUGAAAGAGUGCGUAAUAGCUCACUGGUCGAGUGACCCCGCGCCGAAAAUGUACCGGGGCUAAACAUAUUACCGAAACUGUGGAUGAACCUCUUUAGAGGUUCGUGGUAGGAGAGCGUUCUAAGGGCGGUGAAGUCAGACCGGAAGGACUGGUGGAGCGCUUAGAAGUGAGAAUGCCGGUAUGAGUAGCGAAAGAAGGGUGAGAAUCCCUUCCACCGAAUAUCUAAGGUUUCCUGAGGAAGGCUCGUCCGCUCAGGGUUAGUCGGGACCUAAGCCGAGGCCGAUAGGCGUAGGCGAUGGACAACAGGUAGAGAUUCCUGUACCAGUGCUAAUUGUUUAACCGAUGGGGUGACACAGAAGGAUAGGGAAUCGCACGAAUGGAAAUGUGCGUCCAAGCAGUGAGUGUG